AUUGAACGCUGGCGGCAGGCCUAACACAUGCAAGUCGAGCGGAGGAAGGGAGCUUGCUCCUGGAUUCGGCGGCGGACGGGUGAGUAAUGCCUAGGAAUCUGCCUGGUAGUGGGGGAUAACGUCCGGAAACGGGCGCUAAUACCGCAUACGUCCUGAGGGAGAAAGUGGGGGAUCUUCGGACCUCACGCUAUCAGAUGAGCCUAGGUCGGAUUAGCUAGUUGGUGGGGUAAAGGCCUACCAAGGCGACGAUCCGUAACUGGUCUGAGAGGAUGAUCAGUCACACUGGAACUGAGACACGGUCCAGACUCCUACGGGAGGCAGCAGUGGGGAAUAUUGGACAAUGGGCGAAAGCCUGAUCCAGCCAUGCCGCGUGUGUGAAGAAGGUCUUCGGAUUGUAAAGCACUUUAAGUUGGGAGGAAGGGCAGUAAGUUAAUACCUUGCUGUUUUGACGUUACCAACAGAAUAAGCACCGGCUAACUUCGUG
rnacentral:rRNA from 1 species